GACGAACGCUGGCGGCGUGCUUAACACAUGCAAGUCGAACGGAAAGGCCCUGCUUUUGUGGGGUGCUCGAGUGGCGAACGGGUGAGUAACACGUGAGUAACCUGCCCUUGACUUUGGGAUAACUUCAGGAAACUGGGGCUAAUACCGGAUAGGAGCUCCUGCUGCAUGGUGGGGGUUGGAAAGUUUCGGCGGUUGGGGAUGGACUCGCGGCUUAUCAGCUUGUUGGUGAGGUAGUGGCUUACCAAGGCUUUGACGGGUAGCCGGCCUGAGAGGGUGACCGGCCACAUUGGGACUGAGAUACGGCCCAGACUCCUACGGGAGGCAGCAGUGGGGAAUAUUGCACAAUGGGCGGAAGCCUGAUGCAGCGACGCCGCGUGCGGAAUGACGGCCUUCGGGUUGUAAACCGCUUUCGCCUGUGACGAAGCGUGAGUGACGGUAAUGGGUAAAGAAGCACCGGCUAACUACGUG
rnacentral:rRNA from 1 species